GAUACAGGUGCUGCAUGGCUGUCGUCAGCUCGUGUCGUGAGAUGUUGGGUUAAGUCCCGCAACGAGCGCAACCCUUUUCCUUAUUUGCCAGCACUUCGGGUGGGAACUUUAAGGAUACUGCCAGUGACAAACUGGAGGAAGGCGGGGACGACGUCAAGUCAUCAUGGCCCUUACGGCCAGGGCUACACACGUGCUACAAUGGUCGGUACAAAGGGUUGCUACACAGCGAUGUGAUGCUAAUCUCAAAAAGCCGAUCGUAGUCCGG
rnacentral:rRNA from 1 species